UUCCCCACGCACAUGGAACUGACUGCCAGGCUCAUAUGCCAACUGUGUAGCAACAGACCAACACAGUGAGACAGUGAGGUUUGCAACAGAGAAUGCAAGACCACUGAGAGAGGAGAUGGGAGAAAUCCUCAAGCCUCAAAUCUAUCUCCUCAAGGGGUUCUUGUGUAAUUUCAUUAAAUAUGGCAGCAGUGGUUACCUACAGGAAGAGAAGAAAUCCAAGUAAUGAGCCCAAUACUCCUCCUCAGGAGUGGAACAGGCUGUGGAAAAGAGGAAGGACCAAUAAAUGAGACUGGCAAGGUGGCUCAUGAGUAAAGGAGAAAACCAGAAAAAUGGAAAUCAAUUAAGAAAAUGUUUGGAGGAUGAAAACAUCAGUUAAAUCUGUGUAAUACUGAGAAUAAAUAGGGUAACUAUAGAAUUAACAUCUGAAUCAGGAUGCUUUGAGAAUAAGACUAUACAUGGUUGAUUACAUGAGAAAAAAGUAUAAACCAAGACUCUCCAAGGACAACAGGAUUGAGAAGUUUCUCCAAAAUUUUGGAGACAGUAAAACUAGGCAAAUUCUUAGAAGAAUUAUUCUAAAAUGAUAAAUUUUAAAAAAAAAUGAAGUUCUGCUGCUGGAGAAGUAAGGAAAGAGAAUAUUUGUUUAAGAUGAGGGAACUAACUGUAUGUUUGCAUAAUGGUGGAUGAUCCAGUAGAGAAAGAAAAUUGAUGAGGCAAAAAGAGAGGAGAGAAUUGUGAGAGCAAAGUCAUUGAAUGACUUAAAAAAGAAGGGAUAAUAGUGAAAGAAUAGAAUCCACGCAACUGAGAUUAUGAAAAAGUUGUAUUUAUUAGUAAAAACAAAGUUAAGGUUAUGACUAUUAAAAUGUAUGUCUGAUGUAAAGUGGAAGACAAGGUCAUUUACUAACGGGGGUUGAGAAGCCAACGUGUUGAAAAGAUCAUAUCUGUAUAUGUUGAAAAUGCCAAGAUUUAAGACUAGAAUAGCAUUAGAGAAAUAAAUAAAAUAAACUGAAGUUUAUAAUAUCAGCAAUAUGAAUGGUGGUGGGUGAUAUGGUAAGAUGAUUCAAAAAGAAGAAUUUUAGGGAAGGAGAAAGAAUGAUUUAAAACCGGCAAAGGAGAACAAGAAAGAUAUCUAUGCCACUUCCACGCCCAGUGGCAUGAAAAAGGGAGAAAAAUCAGUGGCCACUUAAGACUGCAGAGAAACAAUGUUCUUAAUAGAUUGUCAUGUUUUCAUCAGAGCAAAAAGGUAAAUGUGUUGUUGAAAACAAAGAUCAAACACAGGGUGGAAACUGAUGAUAAUGAUUUGUGUGAAGGCAAUAGGGAGUGUGGUAGAUGUUGUGAAGGUUAGAAGAAAAAACAAAAGUGAGGGGACAGAUACAGAAUCUUAUACCAAUUAGAGUAUAAGAAAAGAAGAGCGAACUGGAAGUCUAAGAAUUUUUGUUAUGGAUGAUGUAAAUAAGAAUAAAGGAUAUAAUGUAUUUAGUGGUAAAUUGAAAAAUGUCCCAAAGAUACAUCAAGCCCAAAUCUCCAGCAUCUGUAAGUAUUGAUUUAUAGGGCAAAAGAAGUGACUAAGAGAAGAAUUUUUAGAUGAGGAGAUUAUUCUGGAUUAUAUGGAUGGGCACUAAAUGUAAUGAUGUGGGUCCUUUUAGAAAAAUGUGGAAGGAGAUUCCAUACUGACCCACAUAGAAAAGAAUUCGCUGUGUAGACAGAGGCAGAAAUUGGAAUGAUGCGACCGUAUGCCAGGCAAUGCUAGUAGCCAUCCAAAUCUGGAAGACGCAAAGAAUGGAUUCUCCUUUUCAGCCUCUAGAAGGAGGGAAUGAGGCUGUGCCGACACCUUAAUUUCAUCUCAGUGAUACUCCUUUCAAACUUAAGGCCUCCAGAACUGUGAGAGAAUAAAUUUCUACUGUGUUAAGCUUCCUCGUUUGGAGUAAUUUGUUAUCAAAGCCACAGGAAAGAAAGACAUUAGGGAUUCAAAUUGGAUAUUUGUGGCAACAUUAUGAAUCUUUGAUUCUGGCUGUCAACUGGGAUCCUUGGAUUUCUCCAGGUUGGAUGUCCUGGGGCUGGAGGUCAAGCUCACUGAAUUUUUACCAAAACUCUGCAAGAAAUAUUGUAUUAUCAUUCUUACUCUAUGGAUGAAAGAAAAGAGGCUAAGAGAGAUAAAAUUACUUGUCCCCAUGCAAUGGUUACUGAAAGAUGGAGCCAGGAUUCUACCUUAGGGAAAUGCAAGGAAACCAUCAAAGAGAUACUGUGAAGUGUGCAUCUGCUAAGGGCAAAUUGAGAGAGAAUGACAUUGUAUCCUUGAAAAUUAUUGUAGAGAUGCCUGAAUAUGCCCAAACUGCUUUCAGUGAGCAAACUUCCUCUUGGAUCUGUGAAGCUUGGAGGAAAAGUCAGAGAACCACGCUGCUCUUAUGUAAAACUAUCUUAUGCUCACUCGUAUUGUACCAGGAAGGUUUUUUCCCCUGGGUAUAUAUCGAGAUUGUAUAGUUACUCCUACUUUCUGUCCCAUCUAGCAGGCCCUUCUGGGUUUCACCGAGCUGGAAAGCUCUGAUUGUUUUCUCUGUUAGAAGAAAAGAUAGAUGGGUCAUGAGGCAGGACUGCGUUUACCACUUUCUUGACAAGGAACUUCUGAGGAUUCCUUAAAGAUCUCUUGCUGGGCUCUCUCUUCUGUAGUUCAUUUAACAAGAAUGGAUGCAUAUCUUCUUUUCGUUGUUUGUUUGUUUUGAGAUGGAGUCUUGCUUUGUCACCCAAGCUGGAGUGCAGUGGCGCGAUAUCAGCUCACUGCAACCUCCGCCUCCCAGGUUCAAGCAAUUAUCCUGCCUCGGCCUCCCAAGUAGCUGGGAUUACAGGCAUGUA
rnacentral:lncRNA from 10 species